GACGAACCGUGCGAACGUUGUUCGGAAUCACUGGGCUUAAAGGGCGCGUAGGCGGCAAAUCAAGUCAGGGGUGAAAUCCGGCAGCUUAACUGUCGAAGUGCCUUUGAUACUGAUAUGCUCGAGGGAGGUAGGGGUCGCUGGAACUUCUGGUGGAGCGGUGAAAUGCGUUGAUAUCAGAAGGAACGCCGGUGGCGAAAGCGAGCGACUGGACCUCUUCUGACGCUGAGGCGCGAAAGCUAGGGGAGCAAACGGG
rnacentral:rRNA from 1 species